rnacentral:rRNA from 1 species
CGCGUAGGUGGCCUGAUAAGUAGGGGGUGAAAUCUCGAGGCUCAACUUCGAGGCUGCCUCCUAAACUGUCAGGCUUGAGCAGAGUAGAGGCAGGUGGAAUUCCCGGUGUAGCGGUGGAAUGCGUAGAGAUCGGGAAGAACAUCGGUGGCGAAGGCGGCCUGCUGGGCUCUUGCUGACACUGAGGCGCGACAGCGUGGGGAGCAAACA